UGGUCUUGAACUCCUGGCCUCGGGUGAUAU
rnacentral:piRNA from 1 species